rnacentral:misc_RNA from 1 species
GAAAAAGCUUGCUGCAGCUAGAAGAAGGAUUGAUGGAAUGAAAUUAGAUCAAUGUAUUAGGGAAUUUGCUGAGAUGAAGAAUAAAACUUCACGUUGGGAGGCUCCAUCAGGUACAGAAAUUUGUAGUUUAGGUUUGUUGGACACUCCCCAAAGCUAAAAAGAAGGAACCCGUCCUUUCGAGCUUCUAGUUCUUCUGGAUUGCAACCCACGAGGGCACUCUAGAGCAACCUUUGAACGCGUUCCGCCUUAUUAUUUAGUGUAUCGAGUUACAUAUUGUUUAUUUCUUGAAAAA